CAGAGGUGCGAGCGUUAAUCGGAAUUACUGGGCGUAAAGCGAGUGUAGGUGGCUCAUUAAGUCACAUGUGAAUCCCCGGGCUUAACCUGGGAACUGCAUGUGAUACUGGUGGUGCUAGAAUAUGUGAGAGGGAAGUAGAAUUCCAGGUGUAGCGGUGAAAUGCGUAGAGAUCUGGAGGAAUACCGAUGGCGAAGGCAGCUUCCUGGCAUAAUAUUGACACUGAGAUUCGAAAGCGUGGGUAGCAAACAGGAUU
rnacentral:rRNA from 1 species